rnacentral:rRNA from 1 species
GACGAACGCUGGCGGCGUGCCUAAUACAUGCAAGUCGAGCGGACUGAUUAAGAGCUUGCUCUUAUGACGUUAGCGGCGGACGGGUGAGUAACACGUGGGCAACCUGCCCUGUGGAUCGGGAUAACACCGAGAAAUCGGUGCUAAUACCGGGUAAUAUCUGAGAUCACAUGAUCUUAGGUUAAAAGAUGGCUCCGGCUAUCACUACAGGAUGGGCCCGCGGCGCAUUAGCUAGUUGGUAAGGUAAUGGCUUACCAAGGCGACGAUGCGUAGCCGACCUGAGAGGGGGAUCGGCCACACUGGGACUGAGACACGGCCCAGACUCCUACGGGAGGCAGCAGUAGGGAAUCUUCCGCAAUGGACGAAAGUCUGACGGAGCAACGCCGCGUGAGUGAUGAAGGGUUUCGGCUCGUAAAGCUCUGUUGUUAGGGAAGAAACAGUACCGAACGAACUAGGUCGGUACCUUGACGGUACCUAACCAGAAAGCCACGGCUAACUACGUG